rnacentral:rRNA from 1 species
UGGGGGAUAGCCUUUCGAAAGGAAGAUUAAUACCCCAUAAUAUAUUUGUCGGCAUCGAUGGAUAUUGAAAACUCCGGUGGAUAGAGAUGGGCACGCGCAAGAUUAGAUAGUUGGUGAGGUAACGGCUCACCAAGUCUACGAUCUUUAGGGGGCCUGAGAGGGUGAUCCCCCACACUGGUACUGAGACACGGACCAGACUCCUACGGGAGGCAGCAGUGAGGAAUAUUGGACAAUGGGUGAGAGCCUGAUCCAGCCAUCCCGCGUGAAGGACGACUGCCCUAUGGGUUGUAAACUUCUUUUGUAUAGGGAUAAACCUACCCUCGUGAGGGUAGCUGAAGGUACUAUACGAAUAAGCACCGGCUAACUCCGUGCCAGCAGCCGCGGUAAUACGGAGGGUGCAAGCGUUAUCCGGAUUUAUUGGGUUUAAAGGGUCCGUAGGCGGAUCUGUAAGUCAGUGGUGAAAUCUCACAGCUUAACUGUGAAACUGCCAUUGAUACUGCAGGUCUUGAGUGUUGUUGAAGUAGCUGGAAUAAGUAGUGUAGCGGUGAAAUGCAUAGAUAUUACUUAGAACACCAAUUGCGAAGGCAGGUUACUAAGCAACAACUGACGCUGAUGGACGAAAGCGUGGGGAGCGAACAGGAUUAGAUACCCUGGUAGUCCACGCCGUAAACGAUGCUAACUCGUUUUUGGGCUUUCGGGUUCAGAGACUAAGCGAAAGUGAUAAGUUAGCCACCUGGGGAGUACGUUCGCAAGAAUGAAACUCAAAGGAAUUGACGGGGGCCCGCACAAGCGGUGGAUUAUGUGGUUUAAUUCGAUGAUACGCGAGGAACCUUACCAAGGCUUAAAUGGGAAAUGACAGGUUUAGAAAUAGACUUUUCUUCGGACAUUUUUCAAGGUGCUGCAUGGUUGUCGUCAGCUCGUGCCGUGAGGUGUUAGGUUAAGUCCUGCAACGAGCGCAACCCCUGUCACUAGUUGCCAUCAUUAAGUUGGGGACUCUAGUGAGACUGCCUACGCAAGUAGAGAGGAAGGUGGGGAUGACGUCAAAUCAUCACGGCCCUUACGCCUUGGGCCACACACGUAAUACAAUGGCCAGUACAGAGGGCAGCUACACAGCGAUGUGAUGCAAAUCUCGAAAGCUGGUCUCAGUUCGGAUUGGAGUCUGCAACUCGACUCUAUGAAGCUGGAAUCGCUAGUAAUCGCGCAUCAGCCAUGGCGCGGUGAAUACGUUCCCGGGCCUUGUACACACCGCCCGUCAAGCCAUGGAAGUCUGGGGUACCUGAAGUCGGUGACCGUAACAGGAGCUGCCUAGGGUAAAACAGGUAACUAGGGCUAAGUCGUAACAAGGUAACCC